GUUCUAUGAUUGACGUAUUUGGUGAUUCAACUAUAAAGUAUGUCAGGUAUUUACCUGAAUAAUAGCUAAGGAAGAUGAAUAGCUGAGGAGGUGUUCGAACAAGGCUGAAGUUCAUGAGUAAACCAGAUACUUCAGGUAUAACACCAUCUCAACCCGAAAGUAUUCCUAGUAAGCCAAGUGCUCCAAUUCAAACAGAUUCUCCUGUAUUAACUCUAGACAAUGACAAUUUCAAGACGAGUAUAGGUUCCCAAGAGCCUACACUGGUGUUCUUCUUUGCUUCGUGUAGGGUGUGGUAGUUGUGUUAAGUUCAAGCCUAUUUACUUCGAUGUAGCCAAAGAGUUGGCAGGUAAAUCACCCAUACGUUUUGCUCUGUAUGAUUGCAGCAGCGGUGGAGAGAUAGCUGAAGAGUAUGGAAUUUCUCGAUUCCCUUCACUCAAAUUGUUCAGGAGUGGCAAGUUCGAGCGUGAUUUUGAAGGUAAAAGGAACCCGGAAGACCUGAAAACGUUCGUUGCCAAAUUUUCCAAUGGAAAAGGUGUAGUUUAAACACAUUGCUUCAUGUGAGAAUCAAUUUUUUCUGUUUGUGAACUGACUCGAAUCUUAUAGUUAAUGAGAUCAUUUGAGUUUGCACUAAAGAUAUAUCGUUUCAUGUAAGUACUUAUUGUAAGUUAGGUAUAUAAAUCAAGAUAUUUUUCUUUGUUUUUUUGUGAUGUGGGCACAUACCUAAUGUUUUAUUUGACUUAGUUUUUGAUGAUUGAAUCAGGUAGACGAUGUAACCCAUAUUCAAUACACUGAUUAUGUACAUUAAAAAUAAACUCAUGUUUACCGGUU